rnacentral:misc_RNA from 1 species
AGGUGGAACAGAAAAGUAAAACGAUAGAAAAACCUCCGCCGCAGACUGGUGAAAAACUGCAGCGAAGGUUUUUGAUGUUUUUAGGGUGUUGAGAAAAUUUAGCACUCCUCAGCGAUAUCAUAAAUCAGGCGUUCGGUCUGAUCCCAGCCAAGGCACGGGUCAGUGAUGGAUUUACCAUAGACAUGAUUUCCGCAUCCGAUUUUCUGAUUGCCAGGCUCCAGAUAGCUUUCGAUCAUAACACCUUUUACGAGACUUUCGAUAUCCUUGUUGCAUCGUCUUGUGUGCAGAACGUCUUUGACGAUACGGAUCUGCUGCUCGUAUUUCUUUCCGGAGUUGGAAUGGUUG